GAUGAACGCUGGCGGCGUGCCUAACACAUGCAAGUCGAACGGUCUUACUGGAGCUUGCUCCUGUAAGAUAGUGGCGGACGGGUGAGUAACACGUGGAUAACCUGCCCUUUGCAAAGGGAUAACAACCAGAAAUGGUUGCUAAAACCUUAUAAGCUCACGAGAUGGCAUCAUCAAGUGAGAAAAUAUUUAUAGGCAAAGGAGGGGUCCGCGUCUGAUUAGCUAGUUGGAGGGUAACGCCACCAAGGCGACGAUCAGUAGCCGGCCUGAGAGGGUGAACGGCCACAUUGGGACUGAGACACGGCCCAAACUCCUACGGGUGGCAG
rnacentral:rRNA from 1 species